rnacentral:rRNA from 1 species
UACGGGGGGGGCAAGCGUUGUUCGGAAUUACUGGGCGUAAAGGGCGCGUAGGCGGCCUGCUAAGUCGGACGUGAAAUCCCUCGGCUCAACCGGGGAACUGCGUCCGAUACUGGUGGGUUCGAAUCCGGGAGAGGGAUGUGGAAUUCCAGGUGUAGCGGUGAAAUGCGUAGAUAUCUGGAGGAACACCGGUGGCGAAGGCGGCAUCCUGGACCGAGAUUGACGCUGAUGAGCGAAAGCUAGGGGAGCAAACGGG